UUUUUUCAUUAAUUUUUGAUAGAGCGAGUGAGUAAACACAAGACUCUAAUUAAGGAAAAUUAAGAUCAGGUCAACAUUUGAAAUGUUAUUUAUAAAAAUGGGCAUCCGAAGACACCACAAGUUUAAUUAGUUACGUGGGACGCAAUAGUCGGAUCCGAGCCGAGGCUCUUCACUUUCCAUUGUUUUCUGACUGAGACACUAUCCCCACCGAAAUGGAGUAAUGAUCCCAGGCAAAAAGAGGUGUGGUAAUGAUCCUUCCGCAGGUUCACCUACGGAAA
rnacentral:misc_RNA from 1 species